rnacentral:rRNA from 1 species
UACGAAGGGGGCUAGCGUUGUUCGGAAUCACUGGGCGUAAAGCGCACGUAGGCGGAUUGUUAAGUCAGGGGUGAAAUUCCGGGGCUCAACCUCGGAACUGCCUUUGAUACUGAGGAUCUUGAGUCCGGGAGAGGUGAGUGGAACUGCGAGUGUAGAGGUGAAAUUCGUAGAUAUUCGCAAGAACACCAGUGGCGAAGGCGGCUCACUGGCCCGGAACUGACGCUGAGGUGCGAAAGCGUGGGGAGCAAACAGG